GACAGGGGUGUCCCCGCAUGUCCCCUGCGGUCCCGAGUGCCCCUCGCUCUGCUCCCCACAGCGCUGGGGAGUCCCUUGGGGUGAUGGCCCUGGGGAGUUGUGGGGGGUGUCCCGGAAGAAGGGUGAUCCCAUGGGGAGAUGUCCCAGGACAAAGGAACUGCCAUAGGAGGGUGUCCUAUGGGAGUGGUAGCCAGGGACAAAGGGGAGUCCUUAGGAAGGGGUGUCCCACAGUCGGGAUGUCCUAGGGUGGGGAGGUCCCGGGACAAGGGGUGUCCCACGGGGGGAUGUCCCACGAGAAUGGGGGUCCCAGGACAAGGGGUAUCCCGGGACAAGGGGUGUCCCUAGGUGGGAGUGAGGGGGAUUCCCCCUUACCUGGCUUGCCCUGUGGGUCCCGUCCAGUCCCGUCGGCGGCUCCAUCCCCGCGGCCCCCCCUUUAUAGCGGAGCGGGGCCGUUGCACAACGGCGCUUCCCGGCCCGCCCGCCCCGGCCAGACCGCGGCCCUGUCCGUGUGUCCGUCCCUGUGUCCGUGUGUCCACGUGUGUGCCCGUGGGUCCGUCCGGGGAUCCGUCCAUGUCCGCCCAUGUGCCCGGCGGGGGAUGCACCAAGCCGGGGGGUCCCGGGACACAGCGAUAACGGGGGGGUCCCGGGGUCAUAUGGAGUACCGGGGGGGGAUGCACCGGGGGCAUCAAUCCUGGGACACAAUGAACACGGGGUCCCGGGAUACAACGACAACGGGGGGGCCUGAGGAUGAACCGAACAUGGUGCGGGGGUCCCGGGCCACACGGAGCACGAGGGGACGGGUCCCGGGAUGCCCCGUGGGGGUUGUCUCGGGACACACGAAGCACGGGGGCAGGGUCCGGGGAUGCACGGGACACGACGGAGAUGCCGCGGAUGCACCGAGCGCGGGGUGCUGGGGCACAGCAUCAGAGAGGGGACCCCGGGGACGAACCGAACAUGGGAUGAGGGGCCCGGAGAUGCACGUGCCGGGAACGUGUCCCAGUGAACAGGGG
rnacentral:lncRNA from 14 species